AACGCUGGCGGCGCGCUUAAUACAUGCAAGUCGAGCGAGAACCUGGGCUUCGGCCCUGGGGACAGCGGCGAACGGGUGAGUAACACGUGGGUAAUCAACCCUCGACACUGGGAUAGCCCGGGGAAACCCGGAUUAAUACCGGAUACCCCAUCUGGCCUUCGGGCCGGCUGGAAAAGGUAGCUUCGGCCUCCGGGAGGGGACGAGCCCGCGGCGGAUUAGCUUGUUGGUGGGGUAAUGGCCCACCAAGGCGACGAUCCGUAGCUGGUCUGAGAGGACGAUCAGCCACACUGGGACUGAGACACGGCCCAGACUCCUACGGGAGGCAGCAGUAGGGAAUCUUGCGCAAUGGGCGAAAGCCUGACGCAGCGACGCCGCGUGAGGGAAGAAGGCCUUCGGGUUGUAAACCUCUUUCAGGAGGGACGAAGCCACUCGGGUUAACAGCCCAGAGGGUGACGGUACCUCCAGAAGAAGCCCCGGCUAACUACGUGCCAGCAGCCGCCGUAAUAC
rnacentral:rRNA from 1 species